UCGGAGACUGUCAAUAGUACGGACACUAAACGUCACGCAAGCGCGCCCUCUGGUGGCGUUUCCGGUGAAACAACAUUUUGGCGCGCUUGGCAGAGUAGUGGUGGUCGGCGUGGCGUCCGCGGAGCUCAGUCUUGGUCGAGUCGUCGUGCUGCGCACAUCUCGAUACUGCCUUUCGUUACGUGUAGUGUACCUAGUGUUGUAGUACUGUUGUAGAUCCAUAUUGUAAAGUGUGUAAAGUGUCUUUUGAAAUUAAAGUGUAAAGGUUCUUCUAACCUAACAGACAGACAUGUGUUGCUGGGGAGUUUGUUCCGCCACUUCUUCUCCCCAAGCCAAAACACAUAGGAAGUGGCGAAGGGCGGGCGUUUUGGGGGCUGUCUUUUGUUCUGACUAAUUUGAAUAAACGUUUGACUUUUGAGUUCGUUUGAGUUUUGAGUUUCUUUGAGUUAUCUCUUUGCUUGAUUACCCUAACUGAUGUCGGACGAUAGUGCCAUCCUGAUGUUCCGCCGCCUUCCGACAUCAGAAGUGGGAUGUAAUCCGAAUGCCCACAUGUGUUAAGGGUUGCCAUGCCCACGUGUUCAAAAAGUGAAAAAGUGAUGUGCUCGUUCGGAGUGAUGUGUGGCGGCCGAUGGUGGAUUAGUUUCGGGAGAAUUCGCCACGUGAAGACAAACUUUCUGGAUUUCUGAGUGCACGAUAGGCACAGGCUGAAUACCUACUGGGAGAAGAAAAUAAGGGAACAUCAGAAUUUUGAUAUGGAGGUUAUAGUAACCACGGUUAUGGUAAUGGUAUCGAUUUCCAUUGUGACAUGUCAAACUAGUUAUUGAAGGUACGCUAGAAAAUUAACCGAUUUAUCUUCUCAUUUUCAUGUUUCAACAAUGACGGUGAUUAUUGUGCAAUAUGGCGACAAAAUUACUGCGGAGCAUCUCAGCUGCCAGGAGCCUGACGUGUCAUCGUGAGGUCGGAGUGUUGGUGCUCGUGCAUCUACGUGGCUUCACGUCCGCGAAAGCCUUGCUGUACUGCGCGCCAUAGCGAUGUGCGCAUCGUCAUGCGCGUUGAGGUGUUGAGUGGAAACCCGAUAACAUCUAAGGUGAACCGAGCCUGGAGAACAGGACGAGGUCCACUAGUCAAGCGGCGCGCGAGGUGCGCUGCAGUUGCUGUUUGGAGCGUCAUCCUCCCCCGGAUUUGUCGUGGAGGCCGUAUGAGUUGCGGCAGGCCAGGACAUCGCAUGUCAUCGCACAAGGUGAAAGCAUUCUAUUGCAUUGAAAAUGUUUAGAUUGAUCAGACAAACUUGACAAUGACUAGCCUGUGUGGCAAUGACUAUCCUGUGUGGCAGCUAGGAGCCUGUGUGGCAGCUAGGAGCCUGUGUGGCAGCUAGGAGCCUGUGUGGCAGCUAGGAGCCUGUGUGGCAGCUAGGAGCCUGUGUGGCAGCUAGGAGCCUGUGUGGCAGUUAGGAGCCUGUGUGGCAGUUGGUAGCCUGUGUGGCAGUUGGUAGCCUGUGUGGCAAUUGGUAGCCUGUGUGGCAGUUGGUAGCCUGUGUGGCAGUUGGUAGCCUGUGUGGCAGUUGGUAGCCUGUGUGGCAUUCAAGUGUGAGCGAUAUUAAUAAGCCUGUGUGGCGUAAUUAUGACCCUAUGUGGUUCUGUGGUUCAGAUGGAUCUGUGUGACUUUUGUUCAGUGUGCUACAUAGUGGUCAGGAGUGGCCGAGGUUGUACUGUGCAUACUGUGCUGUGUUUGUGUUGUUGCAGAUUAACCCACGAGGACUACGCAGGAUGGCUGUGUCGGAGACUGUCAAUAGUACGGACACUAAACGUCACGCAAGCGCGCCCUCUGGUGGCGUUUCCGGUGAAACAACAUUUUGGCGCGCUUGGCAGAGUAGUGGUGGUCGGCGUGGCGUCCGCGGAGCUCAGUCUUGGUCGAGUCGUCGUGCUGCGCACAUCUCGAUACUGCCUUUCGUUACGUGUAGUGUACCUAGUGUUGUAGUACUGUUGUAGAUCCAUAUUGUAAAGUGUGUAAAGUGUCUUUUGAAAUUAAAGUGUAAAGGUUCUUCUAACCUAACAGACAGACAUGUGUUGCUGGGGAGUUUGUUCCGCCACUUCUUCUCCCCAAGCCAAAACACAUAGGAAGUGGCGAAGGGCGGGCGUUUUGGGGGCUGUCUUUUGUUCUGACUAAUUUGAAUAAACGUUUGACUUUUGAGUUCAUUUGA